ACACUGAGACACCACCUUUAUUUGGUUGUACAAAAUGAACAUAUACAGACAGAACUUUCCUUCCCAAAAAGGUCGAGGAACAAAAGAAUGGAAUAAAACGCAUUAACUAGAUGCAAAUGCAAAAGGAAACAUUAACAAGGAAUACUGGUACAGGGAAGAUCAGAAGGCACAGUGAGGUAAGGACUAAUGAGAGCUUUGGACCGCAGAAAUAUCUACAUCAGCCAGACGGUCUCUGAUAAAUGUGUUUUGUUCUUGGGUCAACAAUUAGGCCUCUCCCACCGUUCACCUCCAAAUCAUGCCUGUAAACAAAAUCAGGAAUAGUUAGUUGUUCGCGUGGUACAUAUCUGAACAGAUGCACAAGCCUAUCCACGUAGACAACUUUCUUCCAAACCUCUCCAUCAACAAACAUCUGCAUUGCCAGAAUAGCUGUUCUCAAACCCAACGUUGGGUGGAGGACAUAUAUGGCCUGUAAUAGUUGCGCUGAUGUUUACGACCCAAUAUUUGUUGUAGGCGCUUCAUGAAUCCUAAAUCUGGUUGUACGGUUGUAAUGAUGCAGCAGAAUGGAAAUAGACAAUGCUAUAUGGCUUCUGAAUCAAAGGACAAUUACCUUUACUACAUGUAGAACAAACCGUUCAAGAUCCAAGCAGCGAAGAAGAAAGUGUGCACCAACAACAACCAUAACCGGGCGUCCUUCACUGUCAACUCCACCUCGAUAAAUUAUUUUCAUUUCAGCAAUCUCUGAAAGAUUAAGAGAAUUUGCUUUAGCAAGGUAUCUUGAAUGAAGUGAAUAUUCCUCUGCGGCGGAUAAUGAAGGGCAAGCUAGAUCUCCAUAUCCAAGCAACUUAGCAUAAUUAAAUCCCUUUUGAGCUUGAGCAGAUUUUUCCCACUGCUCCUUGCGCCUCAGAUCUGGGUCUUUAAUUAAUGACAUAAAUGAAGGAUCCAGAUAUGAAUCCAACUUGAAAGAACUCCUGUUGAAUAGAUGAAUAAAAUCAAAAGGAAGAUCUAUAGGAGCAGUAGUUGCAGCUCUGUCUGUUGCACCAGCAGGCAAAGGUCUUAUUCUUAUUUUCCUUUCAUCAAUUACUGUUUCACCAUUCUCAUCCCCAACAUCGGCUGGAAGUUUUGAUACCGCAAUCUCUUCCUCUUGCCUGUCCCGAGGGAAAUAUACUUAAUCACCUCUUGUAUAUCUCUGUAUCAGAUGAUGAUACAGUACAAAAAACAACACCAGCAAUUUUGCUUUUUUGUUUCUCCAGAAAGCGUCUAACAAACUCACUUAUCGCCACAUGGGCAGCUGGCUCACGAGGGUAGUUUUUAGCUUCCGUGUAAAUGCAGCCCAUUGCAAUGCUUUCAAGGCCAUUUUCAAUGAGGAGUUCCAAACAAGAACGGUAGCAGUGACUAAGUGCAUUCUCUGCAGCUGUGUGAUACUUGACAGCAUAUUUGGGGCCGACUGUAUGAAUGACCUUCCUG
rnacentral:sRNA from 1 species